rnacentral:lncRNA from 1 species
CUCUGUUCGUCGACCGUCUGGUAGAUAUCCUCGUUAACUGCCGCUUCCAUUUGUGAGGUAGUAUUCUGUAACGUAGGCUCAGGGAGUCAGGAAACAUGUGCAAUUAGUGAGUUUAAUAAUAAUGAACAUGGAACGAUAAAAAACAAGAGAAGCGUCUGACGUGGAAACAUAAACAAUACUACCUGACAACUGCUAACAGAAGAGUUCUAUAUAAAGGGUGAGUAAUCAAGGGAGUAAUGAAGUUCAGGUGUGACUGAUGAUGAGAUGCAGGUGUGCGUAAUGAGGGUUGCAGGUGUGCGUAAUGAAGGUUGCCAGGUGUGCGUAAUGAGGGUUGCAGGUGUGCGUAAUGAGGGUUGCAGGUGUGCGUAAUGAGGGUUGCCAGGUGUGCAUAAUGAGGGUUGCCAGGACCGGUGGUUAGUAAACUGGCGACGUCGAGAGCCGGAGCGGAGGAGUGGGAGUAGACUUGACAACGGAAGAGCAGGUAGAGGGAGAGGAGGUAGAGGAAGAGCAGGUAGAGGAAGAGCAGGUGGAGGAAAAGCAGGUAGAGGAGGUAGAGGAAGAGGAGGUAGAGGAAGAGCAGGUAGAGCAGGUUGAGGAAGAGCAGGUAGAGGAGGUAGAGGUAGAGGAAGAGCAGGUAGAGGAAGAGCAGGUAGAGGAAGAGCAGGUAGAGGAAGAGCAGGUAGAGGUAGAGGAGGUAGAGGAAGAGCAGGUAGAGGAAGAGCAGGUAGAGGAGGUAGAGGAAGAGCAGGUAGAGGUAGAGGAGGUAGAGGAAGAGCAGGUAGAGGAAGAGCAGGUAGAGGAAGAGCAGGUAGAGGAAGAGCAGGUAGAGGAGGUAGAGGAAGAGGAGGUAGAGGAAGAGC